AUUGAACGCUGGCGGCAGGCCUAACACAUGCAAGUCGAGCGGAGCGGCGGACGGGUGAGUAAUGCCUAGGAAUCUGCCUGGUAGUGAGGGAGCACGUCGGGAAAGGGGCGAUAAUACCGCAUACUCUCAGAUGAGCCUAGGUCGGAUGAGCUAGUUGGGGGGGUAAAGGCCUACCAAGGCGACGAUUCCUAACUGGUCUGAGAGGAUGAUCAGUCACACUGGAACUUAGAAACGGUCCAGACUCCUACGGGAGGCAGCAGUGGGGAAUAUUGGGCAAUGGGCGAAAGCCUGAUCCAGCCAUGCCGCGUGUGUGAAGAAGGUCUUCGGAUUGUAAAGCACUUUAAGUUGUGAGGCGUUACCAACAGAAUAAGCACCGGCUAACUUCGUGCCAGCAGCCGCGGUAAUAC
rnacentral:rRNA from 1 species